GGCGGACGGGUUAGUAACGCGUGGGAACGUACCCAAAUCUAAGGAAUAGCCACUGGAAACGGUGAGUAAUACCUUAUACGCCCUUCGGGGGAAAGAUUUAUCGGAUUUGGAUCGGCCCGCGUUAGAUUAGGUAGUUGGUGGGGUAAUGGCCUACCAAGCCUACGAUCUAUAGCUGGUUUUAGAGGAUGAUCAGCAACACUGGGACUGAGACACGGCCCAGACUCCUACGGGAGGCAGCAGUGGGGAAUCUUAGACAAUGGGCGCAAGCCUGAUCUAGCCAUGCCGCGUGAGUGAUGAAGGCCUUAGGGUCGUAAAGCUCUUUCGCCUGUGAUGAUAAUGACAGUAGCAGGUAAAGAAACCCCGGCUAACUCCGUGCCAGCAGCCGCGGUAAUACGGAGGGGGUUAGCGUUGUUCGGAAUUACUGGGCGUAAAGCGCAC
rnacentral:rRNA from 1 species